rnacentral:sRNA from 1 species
AACUAGCCCUGAUGGAAGCGGCAUCCUUUUCUGGCUUUCUUUAAGCCGGAAAAGAUAAAGCGUACAGCAGGAAAUAGC